UCAUCCGGGCCCGUGCUAGAGUUCCUGGUGAUUACUGCGCAUGCGCCGGAGGACGGCGGAGUUUUGUGAGCGGCGUUAUCGUUAGAGUACGAAGAUUGGGACUUUUAAUUGCGGUGAAGAGGACCUGUCGGCCGGAGCAGGAGGGGAGCCGGGUCCUGCCCGUGGGUUUGCGGGUCCGACCGAGGCCGCUCUCAGGCACCUGUUUUCCUCUCCGUCCCGGAAUGGAGCCAAGACAAGAGAAUAAAGGAAAUUAAAUAGUACACGGAGAUCGGGUGUCUGGGCAGCGUCUUGGAUAAAAAUCAUCCCUGACAGAAAUGUAAAUCAUGUCACCAUCAUCAGUGAGCACCAUAACAAAGCCAUCCAGGGCCUUCAAAUAAAAGCAGUUCAUCUGUGCUUUCAUUUCAUCUUCAAAAUCCAGAUCACCUAAAAAGGCACAAGAGGAGGAAGGCCUAUUAGACUCAUAUAAAACAACUUACCAGCAUCCAGAAGUUUUCUCACACGCAAAUAACUGAUGGUAAGCCUCAUAACAGAAGCCUUAUCAAGAUGUGAGCUCACAUUAUGGGGAAGUGGCAACUGAUGAGCAAGCUCAUAAAAUACUUCAGACUCUUUGCUUCGCCGAGAUCUGGCUGCGUCUCUAGACUUUUCUUUUCGACGCUCAGAACUUAUCCUACUUAACGAGAAGAAAAAAAAAAAAAGAAAGAAAAAAGAGGCCGAAAAGGGACCAAAACAUGUAUGUUAGUUUGUUGAAUAAAACUAAAUUUACAUUUUUCUGCUUACCACACAAUUA